GUCUAUGGCCACACCAGCUGAACACGCCAGAUCUUGUCUGAUCUCGGAAGAUAAGCAGGGCCAGCCUUGGAUGGGAACCCGCCUGGGAAUAGCAGGCGCUGCAGGAU
rnacentral:rRNA from 1 species